rnacentral:rRNA from 1 species
CCCUUAGAUGUUCUGGGCCGCACGCGUGCUACACUGAGUAAUUCAAUGGGUAAGGGAACGCUAGAGCAUUACCUAAUCUUGAAAUUUGCUCGUGAUGGGGAUCGACGGUUGCAAUUUUCCGUCGUGAACGAGGAAUACCUUGCAGGCGCAUGUCAUCAUCAUGCGCCGAAUACGUCCCUGCCCUUUGUACACACCGCCCGUCGCUCCUACCGAUUGAGUGAUCCGGUGAGGCUCUGGGACCUGGACGGAAAGAGCGUUUCGCUUGUUCUGUUUGGGAAACUUGGUCGAACCUUAUCAUUUAGAGGAAGGAGAAGUCGUAACA